UACGGAGGGGGCUAGCGUUAUUCGGAAUUACUGGGCGUAAAGCGCACGUAGGCGGAUUAGAAAGUCAGAGGUGAAAUCCCAGGGCUCAACCUUGGAACUGCCUUUGAAACUCCUAGUCUUGAGAUCGAGAGAGGUGAGUGGAAUUCCGAGUGUAGAGGUGAAAUUCGUAGAUAUUCGGAGGAACACCAGUGGCGAAGGCGGCUCACUGGCUCGAUACUGACGCUGAGGUGCGAAAGCGU
rnacentral:rRNA from 1 species